rnacentral:rRNA from 1 species
AUUGAACGCUGGCGGCAGGCCUAACACAUGCAAGUCGAGCGGAUGAGAGGAGCUUGCUCUUCGAUUCAGCGGCGGACGGGUGAGUAAUGCCUAGGAAUCUACCUGGUAGUGGGGGACAACGUUUCGAAAGGAACGCUAAUACCGCAUACGUCCUACGGGAGAAAGCAGGGGACCUUCGGGCCUUGCGCUAUCAGAUGAGCCUAGGUCGGAUUAGCUAGUUGGUGAGGUAAUGGCUCACCAAGGCGACGAUCCGUAACUGGUCUGAGAGGAUGAUCAGUCACACUGGAACUGAGACACGGUCCAGACUCCUACGGGAGGCAGCAGUGGGGAAUAUUGGACAAUGGGCGAAAGCCUGAUCCAGCCAUGCCGCGUGUGUGAAGAAGGUCUUCGGAUUGUAAAGCACUUUAAGUUGGGAGGAAGGGCAGUAAGCGAAUACCUUGCUGUUUUGACGUUACCGACAGAAUAAGCACCGGCUAACUCUGUGCCAGCCGCCGCUGUAA